GAGUGAUGAAGGCCUUCGGGUUGUAAAGCUCUUUCGCNAGGGAAGAAAANUUAUGAUCNAAUAAAUCAUGAGGUUGACGGUACCUUGAUAAGAAGCACCGGCUAACUACGUGCCACCAGCCNCGGUAAUACGUAGGGNGCGAGCGUUAAUCGNAAUUACUGGGCGUAAAGCGUGCGCAGGCGGUUUUGUAAGUCGGAUGUGAAAUCCCCGGGCUCAACCUGGGAACUGCGUUCGAAACUGCAAGGCUAUANUGUGUCAAAGGGGGGUAGAAUUCCNCGUGUAGCAGUGAAAUGCGUAAAGAUGUGGAGGAAUACCAAUGGCGAAGGCAGCCCCCUGGGAUAACNCUGACGCUCAUGCACGAAAGCGUGGGGAGCAAACAGGAUUANAUACCCUGGNAGUCCACGCCCUAAACAAUGUCAACUAGUUGUUGGUANAGUAAAAUCUAUGAGUAACGUAGCUAACGCGUGAAG
rnacentral:rRNA from 1 species